rnacentral:lncRNA from 1 species
GUAGAAUAUGCUUAAAUCCAAUACAAAAGCACCUACACACGCGCUUGCUUGGAAAAAUGGAUCAGCGCAAGUCUGACAUGAGCAGCGUGUGUCUGGACGCAGGGCAGAAAACACUACAGAAGGUCAGGGGAUCCCUCAGGACAGGGCUGAGCAUUGGCUGAAGCUGAGGUAGUUCAUGUCCUCCCAUUUGUUGGACUUGGUGAAGGGGAAGGAGCCACCUGUUCCUCCCAGGCAGAGGUGACAUGCCAUGAGCCCUGAGCAGAGCUAGGGGGCACUCGUGCCACAUUGGCGAUUCAGCACAAAGCCCCAGCCACUGUCCUUGCAGAGAGGGACGCGUCAGGACUCCUCCAUGGCUGCUCCUUGGGGCCUCAGGCCCUGGGCGGAGAGGGCUCUGAGUUUGGGGAGGAGGCACCCUUCAUUAACUAGAGGAUUGGAAUAUUUUAACCAAAGGUGAUGUUAUUUAACCUACUUUCUUAGCACUUAAUUUUUCUUUGACCGUGAACUUUCUUUCCUUGGAAUGGAUUGCCGGGCUCUGCCUUUUAACGCGCCCUCUGACAGUAGGUGCUGAGGGCUUAGCACAUAGGCACCCGUGGUCUGGCCUGGGCUGGAGCAGAUGGCUUGUGCACCACAGAUUCUCCAAUAUGCGCAUAGCAUCACAGAUUACAGUGGCUCCAGCCAGGUGUGAUGGAGCACACCUGUGGUCCCAGCUACUCGGGAGGCUGAGGCAGGAGGAUUACGAGUUCAGGGCCAGCUGGGCAAUGUAGAAAGACCCUGUCUCAAAAUACAAAGUAAAAAGCGUUGGGGAUACGUCCCUAGUGCUCAGUGGUAGAGCACCCCAAGGUUCAAUUCCCAGUGCUGCAAAGAAAAAAAAUUACACUGAUUCUCUGGGAAUGGGUCUUGAAAUAAGAACUUAUCCUAACUUAUUAUCGC